CAGACCUCUAAUCGGAAAAGACUACCCGCUGAGUUUAAGCAUAUCACUAAGCGGAGG
rnacentral:rRNA from 2 species